rnacentral:lncRNA from 1 species
UCAAGAGCGGCGAUUCAAACCUUCAAGUCGAGCUGCGUUAGAAUGCGCAGGACUGUUCUUGACGGACGUUAGAAAAAUACUGCAAAUUAAGCGCAUAAAUACAUAGACAGAAACAGACACACACACCGCAGACGUGCAGCGCUGAACAUUCGGUUUGCAGGCCCCCGUAGAAGAGCCGGAGCCCUGCGGCGCAGUGAAAAAUGACCGGCGACGUCGCGUGUCCGGCGGCUGAGGCGGCGCCCCGGCGGCGCAGCGAAAGUGGACACAAGGACACCCCGAAGGCCCCGGUUCUGUGUCUCAAAGGUAACGAGCAGAGGGCGUCUCAGGAUGACGAUGGCUACUCCACCAGGAACUUCAGCUUUGCAGAGGCUGAAAGCUCAGAUUCCCACUGCGACAUCCUGGAGGAGCACCUUUCUGCCGUGGAGGUGAACUGCAGUUUCUCGGCCAGUGAGCUGGCCUCCCUGUGCCACCAGAGUGUGGUGGUAACAGGCAGCCUGGAGCAGCAGGUCCACACAGAGAGCUUGGAAAGGGCAGCUCCCCUGGAACAGAGGGUGGCUGAGCUGGAGAAGCAUCUGGAAGCUGGAGCACAUACCCAUCUGCAGGAGUUCCAGGA